GGCUUUGUGGAUCAGGGCAGAUCGCUCUCGUCCUGUGAUGAAAUUCUUAGACAAACUUUUCUCCGAGGGGGAAGUGGGUUUGACUCCCGCCGAAGCCA